rnacentral:rRNA from 1 species
GUCGUCAGCUCGUGUCGUGAGAUGUUGGGUUAAGUCCCGCAACGAGCGCAACCCUUGUCUUUAGUUGCCAUCAUUAAGUUGGGCACUCUAGAGAGACUGCCAGGGAUAACCUGGAGGAAGGUGGGGAUGACGUCAAAUCAUCAUGCCCCUUAUGCUUAGGGCUACACACGUGCUACAAUGGGUAGUACAGAGGGUUGCCAAACCGUAAGGUGGAGCUAAUCCCUUAAAGCUACUCUCAGUUCGGAUUGUAGGCUGAAACUCGCCUACAUGAAGCUGGAGUUACUAGUAAUCGCAGAUCAGAAUGCUGCGGUGAAUGCGUUCCCGGGUCUUGUACACACCGCCCGUCACACCACGGGAGUUGGAGACGCCCGAAGCCGAUUAUCUAACCUUUUGGAAGAAGUCGUCGAAGGUGGAAUCAAUAACUGGGGUGAAGUCGUAACAAGGUAGCCGUAUCGGAAGGUGCGGCUGGAUC